rnacentral:rRNA from 1 species
GACGAACGCUGGCGGCGUGCUUAACACAUGCAAGUCGAACGGAAAGGCCUCGUUCUGGUGGUACUCGAGUGGCGAACGGGGGAGUAACACGUGAGUAACCUGCCCUUUACUUUGGGGUAACUUCAGGAGACUGUGGCUAAUACCGGGUAGAAGCUCCUGCGGCGUGGUGGGGGGUGUGGAGUGUCUGCGGGUGGGGAUGGACUCGCGGCUUAUCAGCGUGUUGGUGGGGGAGUGGCUUACCAAGGCUUUGACGGGUAGCCGGCCUGAGAGGGUGACCGGCCACCUUGGGACUGAGAUAAGGCCCAGACUCCUAAGGGAGGCAGCAGUGGGGAAUAUUGCCAAAUGGGUGGGAGCCUGAUGCAGCAAAGCCGUGUGGGGGAUGACGGGCUUCGGGUUGUAAACCGCUUUCGCUCAUGACGAAGCUUUGUGUGACGGUAGUGGGUAAAGAAGCACCGGCUAACUACGUG